UACGUAGGGUGCGAGCGUUAAUCGGAAUCACUGGGCGUAAAGGGUGCGUAGGCGGGUCUUUUAAGUCAGGGGUGAAAUCCUGGAGCUCAACUCCAGAACUGCCCUUGAUACUGAGGAUCUUGAGUUCGGGAGAGGUGAGUGGAACUGCGAGUGUAGAGGUGAAAUUCGUAGAUAUUCGCAAGAACACCAGUGGCGAAGGCGGCUCACUGGCCCGAUACUGACGCUGAGGCACGAAAGCGUGGGGAGCAAACAGG
rnacentral:rRNA from 1 species